AAACUUUACAAUGCUGGCAACAGCGAUAAGGGAACCUCGAGUGCCAGGUUACAAAUCUGGCUGUCGAGAUGCCUAAAAAGCAUUUCAUAGCAAGGGCCGGGCAAGACCGGUGCCAGCCGCCGCGGUAACACCGGCGGCUCGAGUGGUAACCGUUAUUAUUGGGUCUAAAGGGUCUGUAGCCGGCCGGAUAAGUCUCUUGAGAAAUCUGGCAGCUUAACUGUCAGGCGUCCAAGAGAUACUGACAGGCUUGGGACCGGGAGAGGUGGGAGGUACUCCAGGGGUAGGGGUGAAAUCUCGUAAUCCUUGGGGGACCACCGAUGGCGAAGGCAUCCCACCAGAACGGGUCCGACGGUGAGGGACGAAAGCUGGGGGCACGAACCGG
rnacentral:rRNA from 1 species